rnacentral:rRNA from 1 species
UACGUAGGAGACGAGCGUUGUCCGGAGUUACUGGGCGUAAAGGGUGCGCAGGUGGCGGCGCGCGUGGGGGGUGAAAUCGCCCGGCUUAACUGGGCGGGGGCCUUCCAGACGGCGUGGCUUGAGCAGCGGAGGGGGACGUGGAAUUCCGGGUGGAGCGGUGAAAUGCGUAGAGAUCCGGAGGAACACCGGUGGCGAAGGCGGGUCUCUGGGCAGUAACUGACGCUGAGGAGCGAAAGCGUGGGGAGCGAACAGG